AAGUCUCCUGAAGGAACGUAAGUCUCCUGAAGGAACGUUGAAGACGACGACGUUGAUAGGUCGGGUGUGUAAGCGCAGCGAUGCGUUGAGCUAACCGAUACUAAUGAACCGUGAGGCUUAACCUU
rnacentral:rRNA from 1 species